rnacentral:lncRNA from 1 species
AUGGAUAGAUUCAACAUUCAAAAUGAAAUCUCCAAAUCUGGCUGGCACUCUUUCUCAAGAAACCCUACAUACUCCUCAGUGACUAAAUUCAGAUCAUCAAGGUAUGGAUUUCACCCAUUUACAUCUUAAUUUCCCUUCUAAUCAAGUGUUUUCUCCGUUAUCUUGAUAUAUCCGGGGCCAUGGUGACAAAAGGAUAAAGAAAAACAACAAAUAUGGAGUGGAUUAACUGAGGGAAGCUGUUCAUGUGAGGGCAAAGAGAGGGAAAUUUUAAUUGGACCUUCAUUCCUUCUUCACAUACACGAUAUUCUAUUUUGAGAUUUCGAAGAUUACAGAGGUAUGUUUUGCUUUUACAAGAACCCUAAUUACAAAAGUUGUGGCUUUUAAGAUAGGUGGCUACAAAGAUCUUGAAUGGUAAGGAACCAAAGUUCUGCAAAUACGAUGGUGCUCUUUCACAGUUGUCGCAAAAUGUUAAUGAGAAGUUGAAUGUGGUUGCUGAGUUGAUCUCGCAACUCUAGGAUUUCAAAUUGCAGUCGGAAGUUUAAUUUAUCUCCAUAUCGUGGACCUUCAUAAAAAGCUUGAUUUUUAUUGUUGAAGAAAAUGUAGCUGAUUAUCUAGCUUUUAUGUGUGGUUUAUUUUAAGCAAAUCAACGUAACGUCAAAAGGGUAAAUCACAUCAGGGAGCUUCCUCAAAACAGCAAAAUGGUAGUCAUGCACAGAGACAGUCUUGAUGUUCUUAUCAAGGAUGUUGAAGCUCAACCCAUCUUGAUCUGAUGAAGCUGUAUUAGUUCGUUCUCUGGAAAUAUCAGAUGCAGAUGCAGUGGUGGAUGAUCAUGAUGAGGAGGACGCUGGGAUGGUGGAUAUUUUAAACGAAUUUGUUAUGAAUAUCAAAGCUUGCGAUGGCAGAAAUCAACUUGCACUGGUUGAGUAUGUUGAAGAUCCAUAUGCUAAUUAUAGAAAGAUAAAGGUAUAUGGCUCCUUUGAUUUUAAACAGUAAAACCAUGCACGUUACUUGAUGCUAAAAAAAUGUAUGGUUUAAUUUCUUUAAAAUGAUUUUGGAUUCUUUUAGUGAUACAGUUUUUGCUUUC